rnacentral:rRNA from 1 species
GACGAACGCUGGCGGCGUGCCUAAUACAUGCAAGUCGAGCGAAGUUUUUCUGGUGCUUGCACUAGAAAAACUUAGCGGCGAACGGGUGAGUAACACGUAAAGAACCUGCCUCAUAGACGGGGACAACUAUUGGAAACGAUAGCUAAUACCGGAUAACAGCAUAAAUCGCAUGAUAUAUGUUUAAAAGUUGGUUUCGGCUAACACUAUGAGAUGGCUUUGCGGUGCAUUAGCUAGUUGGUGGGGUAAAGGCCUACCAAGGCGACGAUGCAUAGCCGACCUGAGAGGGUGAUCGGCCACACUGGGACUGAGACACGGCCCAGACUCCUACGGGAGGCAGCAGUAGGGAAUCUUCCGCAAUGGGCGAAAGCCUGACGGAGCAACGCCGCGUGAGUGAAGAAGGAUUUCGGUUCGUAAAGCUCUGUUGUUAGGGAAGAAUGAUUGUAUAGUAACUAUAUACA